rnacentral:rRNA from 1 species
UGGGGAAUAUUGCACAAUGGGCGCAAGCCUGAUGCAGCCAUGCCGCGUGUAUGAAGAAGGCCUUCGGGUUGUAAAGUACUUUCAGCGAGGAGGAAGGCGUUAAGGUUAAUAACCUUGGCGAUUGACGUUACUCGCAGAAGAAGCACCGGCUAACUCCGUGCCAGCAGCCGCGGUAAUACGGAGGGUGCAAGCGUUAAUCGGAAUUACUGGGCGUAAAGCGCACGCAGGCGGUCUGUUAAGUCAGAUGUGAAAUCCCCCGGGGCUCAACCUGGGAACUGCAUUUGAAACUGGCAGGCUUGAGUCUUGUAGAGGGGGGGUAGAAUUCCAGGUGUAGCGGUGAAAUGCGUUAGAGAUCUGGAGGAAUACCGGUGGCGAAGGCGGCCCCCUGGACAAAGACUGACGCUCAGGUGCGAAAAGCGUGGGGAGCAAACA